CCUACGGGUGGCAGCAGUGGGGGAUAUUGCACAAUGGGGGAAACCCUGAUGCAGCGACGCCGCGUGAGUGAAGAAGGGUCUCGGAUUGUAAACUUCUGUUCUUAGGGAAGAAUAUUAACGUUAGCUAAGGAGCAACCCACGCCUAACUACGUGCCAGCAGCCGCGGUAAUACGUAGGGGGCAAGCGUUGCCCGGUAUUACUGGGGGAAAAGGGGGCGCAGGCGGGAAGCCAAGUCAGCUGUGAAAGCCACGGGCUUAACUUGUGGACUGCAGUUGAAACUGGUUUGCGAGAGUGAAGUAGGGGUAGGCGGAAUUCCGGGUGUAGCGGUGAAAUGCGUAGAUAUUCGGAGGAACACCGGUGGCGAAGGCGGCCAACUGGACUUUAACUGACGCUGAGGCUCGAAAGUGUGGGGAGCAAACAGGAUUAGAUACCCUGGUAGUC
rnacentral:rRNA from 1 species